ACGACCUUACUUGAACAGGAUCUGUUCUAUAGGUUGUACAACUGUGUCCUUGAGUUCUAAGGAGACAAGAACCAUAAUCUGGUGGAUGAACCACUGCCCUGCGGCUAGAGCGUGAUUAACAGUCCAACGAUCCAUUGGAUCUGCGGCGGUAGAUGAUCGUUCUCGCAAGGCUUCGCCCUAGCUGGGAUGGUCGCAAGGCGGUCUGACAGAUU